rnacentral:lncRNA from 1 species
AUGGGGGUGGGAGGACUAGAGUCAACAGAACUGAGGUGGGGAGGAAUGGGGGUGGGAGGACUAGAGUCAACAGAACUGAGGAGGGGAGGAAUGGGGGUGGGAGGACUAGAGUCAACAGAACUGAGGUGGGGAGGAAUGGGGGUGGGAGGACUAGAGUCAACAGAACUGAGGUGGGGAGGAAUGGGGGUGGGAGGACUAGAGUCAACAGAACUGAGGUGGGGAGGACUAGAGUCAACAGAACUGAGGAGGGGAGGAAUGGGGGUGGGAGGACUAGAGUCAACAGAACUGAGGUGGGGAGGAAUGGGGGUGGGAGGACUAGAGUCAACAGAACUGAGGUGGGGAGGAAUGGGGGUGGGAGGACUAGAGUCAACAGAACUGAGGUGGGGAGGAAUGGGGGUGGGAGGACUAGAGUCAACAGAACUGAGGAGGGGAGGAAUGGGGGUGGGAGGACUAGAGUCAACAGAACUGAGGAGGGGAGGAAUGGGGGUGGGAGGACUAGAGUCAACAGAACUGAGGAGGGGAGGAAUGGGGGUGGGAGGACUAGAGUCAACAGAACUGAGGAGGGGAGGAAUGGGGGUGGGAGGACUAGAGUCAACAGAACUGAGGAGGGGAGGAAUGGGGGUGGGAGGACUAGAGUCAACAGAACUGAGGAGGGGAGGAAUGGGGGUGGGAGGACUAGAGUCAACAGAACUGAGGUGGGGAGGAAUGGGGGUGGGAGGACUAGAGUCAACAGAACUGAGGAGGGGAGGAAUGGGGGUGGGAGGACUAGAGUCAACAGAACUGAAGAGGGGAGGAAUGGGGGUGGGAGGACUAGAGUCAACAGAACUGAAGAGGGGAGGAAUGGGGGUGGGAGGACUAGAGUCAACAGAACUGAGGAGGGGAGGAAUGGGGGUGGGAGGACUAGAGUCAACAGAACUGAGGCGGGGAGGAAUGGGGGUGGGAGGACUAGAGUCAACAGAACUGAGGUGGGGAGGAAUGGGGGUGGGAGGACUAGAGUCAACAGAACUGAGGUGGGGAGGAAUGGGGGUGGGAGGACUAGAGUCAACAGAACUGAGGUGGGGAGGAAUGGGGGUGGGAGGACUAGAGUCAACAGAACUGAGGUGGGGAGGAAUGGGGGUGGGAGGACUAGAGUCAACAGAACUGAAGAGGGGAGGAAUGGGGGGUGGGAGGACUAGAGUCAACAGAACUGAGGAGGGGAGGAAUGGGGGUGGGAGGACUAGAGUCAACAGAACUGAGGUGGGGAGGAAUGGGGGUGGGAGGACUAGAGUCAACAGAACUGAGGAGGGGAGGAAUGGGGGUGGGAGGACUAGAGUCAACAGAACUGAGGUGGGGAGGAAUGGGGGUGGGAGGACUAGAGUCAACAGAACUGAGGUGGGGAGGAAUGGGGGUGGGAGGACUAGAGUCAACAGAACUGAGGUGGGGAGGACUAGAGUCAACAGAACUGAGGAGGGGAGGAAUGGGGGUGGGAGGACUAGAGUCAACAGAACUGAGGUGGGGAGGAAUGGGGGUGGGAGGACUAGAGUCAACAGAACUGAGGUGGGGAGGAAUGGGGGUGGGAGGACUAGAGUCAACAGAACUGAGGUGGGGAGGAAUGGGGUGGGAGGACUAGAGUCAACAGAACUGAGGAGGGGAGGAAUGGGGGUGGGAGGACUAGAGUCAACAGAACUGAGGAGGGGAGGAAUGGGGGUGGGAGGACUAGAGUCAACAGAACUGAGGAGGGGAGGAAUGGGGGUGGGAGGACUAGAGUCAACAGAACUGAGGAGGGGAGGAAUGGGGGUGGGAGGACUAGAGUCAACAGAACUGAGGUGGGGAGGAAUGGGGGUGGGAGGACUAGAGUCAACAGAACUGAGGUGGGGAGGAAUGGGGGUGGGAGGACUAGAGUCAACAGAACUGAAGAGGGGAGGAAUGGGGGUGGGAGGACUAGAGUCAACAGAACUGAAGAGGGGAGGAAUGAGGGUGGGAGGACUAGAGUCAACAGAACUGAAGAGGGGAGGAAUGAGGGUGGGAGGACUAGAGUCAACAGAACUGAAGAGGGGAGGAAUGAGGGUGGGAGGACUAGAGUCAACAGAACUGAAGAGGGGAGGAAUGAGGGUGGGAGGACUAGAGUCAACAGAACUGAGAAGGGGAGGAAUGAGGGUGGGAGGACUAGAGUCAACAGAACUGAGGAGGGGAGGAAUGAGGGUGGGAGGACUAGAGUCAACAGAACUGAAGAGGGGAGGAAUGAGGGUGGGAGGACUAGAGUCAACAGAACUGAGGAGGGGAGGAAUGAGGGUGGGAGAACUAGAGUCAACAGAACUGAGGAGGGGAGGACUAGAGUCAACAGAACUGAGGAGGGGAGGAAUGAGGGUGGGAGGACUAGAGUCAACAGAACUGAAGAGGGGAGGACUAGAGUCAACAGAACUGAGGAGGGGAGGAAUGAGGGUGGGAGGACUAGAGUCAACAGAACUGAAGAGGGGAGGAAUGGGGAGGGGAGGACUAGAGUCAACAGAACUGAGGAGGGGAGGAAUGAGGGUGGGAGGACUAGAGUCAACAGAACUGAGGAGGGGAGGAAUGAGGGUGGGAGGACUAGAGUCAACAGAACUGAGGAGGGGAGGAAUGAGGGUGGGAGGACUAGAGUCAACAGAACUGAAGAGGGGAGGAAUGAGGGUGGGAGGACUAGAGUCAACAGAACUGAAGAGGGGAGGAAUGGGGGUGGGAGGACUAGAGUCAACAGAACUGAGGAGGGGAGGAAUGGGGGUGGGAGGACUAGAGUCAACAGAACUGAAGAGGGGAGGAAUGAGGGUGGGAGGACGAGAGUCAACAGAACUGAAGAGGGGAGGAAUGAGGGUGGGAGGACUAGAGUCAACAGAACUGAGGAGGGGAGGAAUGAGGGUGGGAGGACUAGAGUCAACAGAACUGAGAGGGGAGGAAUGGGGGUGGGAGGACUAG